ACGCUCGACACCUACGGGAGGCAGCAGUGGGGAAUAUUGCACAAUGGGGGAAACCCUGAUGCAGCGACGCCGCGUGAGCGAAGAAGUAUUUCGGUAUGUAAAGCUCUAUCAGCAGGGAAGAUAAUGACGGUACCUGACUAAGAAGCUCCGGCUAAAUACGUGUCAGCAGCCGCGGUAAUCUGAGGCGGGCUGGCAAGGC
rnacentral:rRNA from 1 species